rnacentral:rRNA from 1 species
GACGAACGCUGGCGGCGUGCUUAACACAUGCAAGUCGAACGGAAAGGCCCUGCUUUUGUGGGGUGCUCGAGUGGCGAACGGGUGAGUAACACGUGAGUAACCUGCCCUUGACUUUGGGAUAACUUCAGGAAACUGGGGCUAAUACCGGAUAGGAGCUCCUGCUGCAUGGUGGGGGUUGGAAAGUUUCGGCGGUUGGGGAUGGACUCGCGGCUUAUCAGCUUGUUGGUGGGGUAGUGGCUUACCAAGACUUUGACGGGUAGCCGGCCUGAGAGGGUGACCGGCCACAUUGGGACUGAGAUACGGCCCAGACUCCUACGGGAGGCAGCAGUGGGGAAUAUUGCACAAUGGGCGGAAGCCUGAUGCAGCAACGCCUCGUGCGGGAUGACGGCCUUCGGGUUGUAAACCGCUUUCGCCUGUGACGAAGCGUGAGUGACGGUAAUGGGUAAAGAAGCACCGGCUAACUACGUG